AAGGGAUUUCUGGAUUCACCUCGC
rnacentral:siRNA from 1 species